rnacentral:misc_RNA from 1 species
GAUGAAGAACGCAGCGAAAUGCGAUAAGUAAUGUGAAUUGCAGAAUUCAGUGAAUCAUCGAAUCUUUGAACGCACAUUGCGCCCCCUGGUAUUCCGGGGCGCAUGCCUGUCCGAGCGUCAUUACAACCCUCAAGCUCAGCUUGGUGUUGGGCCCCGCCGCCCCGGCGGGCCCUAAAGUCAGUGGCGGUGCCGUCCGGCUCCGAGCGUAGUAAUUCUUCUCGCUCUGGAGGUCCGGUCGUGUGCUCGCCAGCAACCCCCAAUUUUUUUCAGGUUGACCUCGGAUCAGGUAGGGAUACCCGCUGAACUUAAGCAUAUCAAUAAGCGGAGGA